rnacentral:rRNA from 1 species
GGGUUAAGUCCCGCAACGAGCGCAACCCUUGCCUUUAGUUGCCAGCAGUUCGGCUGGGCACUCUAAAGGGACUGCCGGUGUUAAACCGGAGGAAGGUGGGGAUGACGUCAAGUCCUCAUGGCCUUUAUGACCAGGGCUACACACGUACUACAAUGGCCGAUACAAAGGGCAGCGACGCUGCGAGGUGAAGCCAAUACCCGUAAAAUCGGUCUCAGUCCGGAUUGGAGUCUGCAACUCGACUCCAUGAAGUUGGAAUCGCUAGUAAUCGUGGAUCAGCAUGCCACGGUGAAUACGUUCCCGGGCCUU